UUUACAAUUUUUACCAACAGUUAAUAGCCAAGUGUUCAGUACGUAUAAAGAUGCGAGUCACGCUUUGCAACUUUUGGAAGAAGAGAUUUUCCAACGCAGUCAUCUACAUUGUGGGAAAAAUAUAAGAACUACAUGACUGAAGAUAUACUAUACCGACAUAAGCAAACCACUGUCCAAACUUAGACUUCACACAAGAUAUGUAUAACUAACCAUUACUCACAAAAUAUCGAUAAUCGAAUGUACGCAAUCCGCGAAUAAUCAAAAUUCCCCUUUUCUUUUGAACACACCUCGUACUAUACUAAUAUUAUUUCUAUACUAAAAUAAUCAUUACUUCAAGAAAUAAGUUUGAUCCUAAAAUUCUACUCUUUAUAUAUUUAUAUAUUCGAAAUUCAGUUUUACAUGACUUGAUUAUCUUUCUUUGAUUUACAGGCUUUAUGUUCGAAUCAUCGCUGAACCUAAGAAUAAUAAAGUGUCCAGAAAAAGUUUGUCAAAAAUUGGAUGAGCAUUAUUUUGAAUGCUGGAAAGGACUGAGGAAAAUUCGAAUACUUAUUCUUGAUAUUUGUACGUUGGAAGUGAACUUUGAAUGAUUGAAACCACUGAACCAGAAUUGUGCUUUAAAUUUAAAAUUAAGUUAAAAAGGCAAAUUUUCAAAAUAAAAAAAUAGAUGUGCUUUAUGUUCGAAUCAUCGCUGAAGCUAAGGAUAACAAAGUGGGCAGAAAAAACUUGUCAAAAAUUGGAUGAGCAGUAUUUUGAAUGCUGGGAAGGACUGACUUAAUAAUUAUUAUUAUUAUUUGUAUGUUGGAAGUGAACUUUGAAUGAUAGAAACCACUGAACCAGAAUUAUGCUUUAAAUUUAAAAUUAAGUUAAAAAGGCAAAUUUUCAAAAUAAAAAAAUAGAUGUGUAAGUGUCUAAUAUGCGAUGUUAUUGCUUAACUAUUGGUUUAGCAUUAUUUUCUUUUACUUAAACUUACCGAAACUUGGCAACUACGGAAUGUUGUCACGCCUACAAAUUGCCUUUAGUCGAAAAACUAUAAAGCCUAUGACUAUAGCUGUUAUUAAAAUGUUGUAUUAAGGGCGUGGCUCUGUCCUCCUAAUAGGUUUAAAGUACAUAUGUAUAUCACAAACCGAUAAAGACAUAUAAAACAAACUUGUUUGGACAAUGUGCGUCCACUUUUAAGUGAAUUCCUGUGUCUCAAUCUCUUUAUCUUACGGUAUAAAAACGAAAUUAGAUUUAAACCAGAUAUCUUACAUCGGAAAAUUGUCGAAAUCGUAUCACAAAGCUUAGAGGCCCGGAGAUCUAAUAUAAACUCUACAUAGACGCCCCCACCUAAGCCUCAGUACACAUACUCACUACACUGCCCGGUAAACACACCUCACCUGAGAACACUAACAGGAUUACACCAUGCACGAAGACAACACAUUCAACAAGAUAACACACAUAACCAACUAUCAAAACGGAAUUGGAAAAUUGCUUCUACCUCCUUCAAAUACAAAAGCGCUU